rnacentral:rRNA from 1 species
GAGUCGUUGAUUUCACACUGCCGAGAAAAGCCUCUAGAUAGAAAAUAGGUGCCCGUACCGCAAACCGACACAGGUAGUCAAGAUGAGAAUUCUAAGGUGAGCGAGCGAACUCUCGUUAAGGAACUCGGCAAAAUGACCCCGUAACUUCGGGAGAAGGGGUGCUCUUUAGGGUUAACGCCCAGAAGAGCCGCAGUGAAUAGGCCCAAGCGACUGUUUAUCAAAAACACAGGUCUCUGCUAAACCGUAAGGUGAUGUAUAGGGGCUGACGCCUGCCCGGUGCUGGAAGGUUAAGAGGAGUGGUUAGCUUCUGCGAAGCUACGAAUCGAAGCCCCAGUAAACGGCGGCCGUAACUAUAACGGUCCUAAGGUAGCGAAAUUCCUUGUCGGGUAAGUUCCGACCCGCACGAAAGGCGUAACGAUUUGGGCACUGUCUCAACGAGAGACUCGGUGAAAUCAUAGUACCUGUGAAGAUGCAGGUUACCCGCGACAGGACGGAAAGACCCCGUGGAGCUUUACUGUAGCCUGAUAUUGAAAUUCGGCACAGCUUGUACAGGAUAGGUAGGAGCCUUUGAAACGUGAGCGCUAGCUUACGUGGAGGCGCUGGUGGGAUACUACCCUAGCUGUGUUGGCUUUCUAACCCGCACCACUUAUCGUGGUGGGAGACAGUGUCAGGCGGGCAGUUUGACUGGGGCGGUCGCCUCCUAAAAGGUAACGGAGGCGCUCAAAGGUUCCCUCAGAAUGGUUGGAAAUCAUUCAUAGAGUGUAAAGGCAUAAGGGAGCUUGACUGCGAGACCUACAAGUCGAGCAGGGUCGAAAGACGGACUUAGUGAUCCGGUGGUUCCGCAUGGAAGGGCCAUCGCUCAACGGAUAAAAGCUACCCCGGGGAUAACAGGCUUAUCUCCCCCAAGAGUUCACAUCGACGGGGAGGUUUGGCACCUCGAUGUCGGCUCAUCGCAUCCUGGGGCUGUAGUCGGUCCCAAGGGUUGGGCUGUUCGCCCAUUAAAGCGGUACGCGAGCUGGGUUCAGAACGUCGUGAGACAGUUCGGUCCCUAUCCGUCGUGGGCGUAGGAAAUUUGAGAGGAGCUGUCCUUAGUACGAGAGGACCGGGAUGGACAUACCUCUGGUGUACCAGUUGUCGUGCCAACGGCAUAGCUGGGUAGCUAUGUGUGGACGGGAUAAGUGCUGAAAGCAUCUAAGCAUGAAGCCCCCCUCAAGAUGAGAUUUCCCAACUUCGGUUAUAAGAUCCCUCAAAGAUGAUGAGGUUAAUAGGUUCGAGGUGGAAGCAUGGUGACAUGUGGAGCUGACGAAUACUAAUCGAUCGAAGACUUAAUC